CCUACGGGAGGCAGCAGUGAGGAAUAUUGGUCAAUGGUCUUGCGCCUGAACCAGCCAAGCCGCGUGAGGGAGGACUGUACUGUGUAUCGUAAACCUCUUUUGUCAGGGAACAACGCCUGCUACGCGUACCCGGACUGGUGUUCCUUGAGAAAAAGCCACGGCUAACGCCGGUCCCGCCGCCGCGGUAAUACGGAGGAUGCGAGCGUUAUUCGGAUUUUUUGGGUUUAAAGGGUGCGCAGGCGGUCGGUUAAGUCAGCGGUAAAAGGCAGGAGCUCAACCCCCGACAGCCGUUGAAACUGGUAGUCUCGAGUGGGAGAGAAGUAUGCGGAAUGCGUGGUGUAGCGGUGAAAUGCAUAGAUAUCGCGCAGAACUCCGAUUGCGAAGGCAGCAUGCCGGCGCCACACUGACGCUGAGGCACGAAAGCGUGGGUAUCGAACAGGAUUAGAUACCCUUGUAGUC
rnacentral:rRNA from 1 species